AGCUCCCAGGAAGCCACCUGAGUGGAGGAUCAGCUGGCCAUGAUAGACAGAAACGUGCCCGAAACAUGUGUUGGUGGUGGAUGCCCGCUUGGGGCGACCUUGUGCUGCUCACCUGUUCUUUCUUUCCCUCCAGGCGAAGUCCGCCUCGUCAGUUUGCACAUCCAGGCUCUGGUGGACGCUGGUGUUCCAGCCCGUGACAUUGCCGUGGUCUCGCCAUACAACCUCCAGGUGGACCUGCUCAGACAGAGCCUUGUGCACAGGCACCCCGAGCUUGAAAUCAAGUCUGUCGAUGGCUUCCAAGGCCGAGAGAAGGAGGCCGUGAUACUGUCCUUCGUCAGAUCCAACAGGAAAGGUGAAGUUGGUUUUCUUGCUGAGGACCGGAGGAUCAACGUGGCUGUCACCCGUGCCCGACGCCACGUGGCGGUCAUCUGUGACUCCCGUACUGUCAACAACCAUGCAUUUUUGAAGACCCUGGUGGAGUAUUUCACACAGCAUGGGGAAGUACGCACGGCCUUUGAGUAUCUUGACGAUAUUGUCCCAGAAAACUAUUCCCAUGAGAGCU
rnacentral:sRNA from 1 species